GAUGAACGCUGGCGGCGUGCCUAAUACAUGCAAGUCGAGCGAACAGACGAGGAGCUUGCUCCUCUGACGUUAGCGGCGGACGGGUGAGUAACACGUGGAUAACCUACCUAUAAGACUUGGAUAACUUCGGGAAACCGGAGCUACUACCGGAUAAUAUAUUGAACCGCAUGGUUCAAUAGUGAAAGACGGUUUUGCUGUCACUUAUAGAUGGAUCCGCGCCGCAUUAGCUAGUUGGUAAGGUAACGGCUUACCAAGGCAACGAUGCGUAGCCGACCUGAGAGGGUGAUCGGCCACACUGGAACUGAGACACGGUCCAGACGCCUACGGGAGGCAGCAGUAGGGAAUCUUCCGCAAUGGGCGAAAGCCUGACGGAGCAACGCCGCGUGAGUGAUGAAGGUCUUCGGAUCGUAAAACUCUGUUAUUAGGGAAGAACAAAUGUGUAAGUAACUAUGCACGUCUUGACGGUACCUAAUCAGAAAGCCACGGCUAACUACGUG
rnacentral:rRNA from 1 species